GCCAGACUCCUACGGGAGGCAGCAGUGGGGAAUAUUGCACAAUGGGGGGAACCCUGAUGCAGCGACGCCGCGUGGGUGAAGAAGCGCCUCGGCGCGUAAAGCCCUGUCAGCAGGGAAGAAAAUGACGGUACCUGAAGAAGAAGCCCCGGCUAACUACGUGCCAGCAGCCGCGGUAAUACGUAGGGGGCGAGCGUUAUCCGGAUUCACUGGGUGUAAAGGGAGCGUAGACGGCCAUGCAAGCCAGGGGUGAAAGCCCGGGGCCCAACCCCGGGACUGCCCUUGGAACUGCAUGGCUGGAGUGCGGGAGGGGCAGGCGGAAUUCCUGGUGUAGCGGUGAAAUGCGUAGAUAUCAGGAGGAACACCGGCGGCGAAGGCGGCCUGCUGGACCGCGACUGACGUUGAGGCUCGAGAGCGUGGGGAGCAAACAGGAUUAGAUACCCCAGUAGA
rnacentral:rRNA from 1 species